rnacentral:rRNA from 1 species
AGCAGCCGCGGUAAUUCCAGCUCCAAUAGCGUAUAUUAAAGUUGCUGCAGUUAAAAAGCUCGUAGUUGAAUUUCGGGACUAAUAUGUCGGUCGUGCCUCGGUACGUACUGGUAUUUUUGGUUUCUCCCUUCUGACGAACCUUGAUGUCAUUAAUUUGGUGUCUUGGGAAAUCAGGACUGUUACUUCGAAAAAAUUAGAGUGUUUAAAGCAGGCUCACGCUUGAAUACAUUAGCAUGGAAUAAUGAAAUAGGACGUUUGAUUCUAUUUUGUUGGUUUCUAGGAUUGACGUAAUGAUUAAUAGGGAUAGUUGGGGGCAUUAGUAUUCAGUUGUCAGAGGUGAAAUUCUUGGAUUUAUUGAAGACUAACUACUGCGAAAGCAUUUGCCAAGGAUGUUUUCAUUAAUCAAGAACGAAAGUUAGGGGAUCGAAGACGAUCAGAUACCGUCGUAGUCUUAACCAUAAACUAUGCCGACUAGGGAUCGGAUGAUGUUAAUUUUUAAUGACUCAUUCGGCGCCUUACG